GUUUGAUCAUGGCUCAGGACGAACGCUGGCGGUGUGCUUCACACAUGCAAGUCGAACGGGGUAGCAAUACCCAGUGGCGGACGGGUGAGUAACACGUAGGAAUCUGCCUUUAGAUGGGGGAUAGCAGGCCGAAAGGCCUAUUAAUACCGCAUAUGCCGAAAGGUGAAAGGAGCAAUCCGUCUGAAGAUGANCCUGCGUCUGAUUAGCUAGUUGGUAAGGUAAAGGCUUACCAAGGCUACGAUCAGUAGCUGGUCUGAGAGGAUGAUCAGCCACAAUGGAACUGAGACACGGUCCAUACUCCUACGGGAGGCAGCAGUGGGGAAUUUUACACAAUGGGCGAAAGCCUGAUGUAGCGACACCGCGUGAGCGAAGAAGCCUUUUGGGGUGUAAAGCUCUGUCAGCAGGGACGAAAAAAAUGACGGCACCUGCAGAGGAAGCAUCGGCUAACUACGUGCCAGCAGCCGCGGUAAGACGUAGGAUGCAAGCGUUGUCCGGAUUUAUUGGGCGUUAAGAAUUCNUAGGCGGUUUGUUAAAUCUGAUGUUUAAGACUGGGGCUCAACCCUGGGACCGCAUUGGAUACUGGCCAGACUCC
rnacentral:rRNA from 1 species